rnacentral:tRNA from 1 species
CCCGGGGUGGAGCAGUGGCAGCUCGCCAGGCUCAUAACCUGGAGGUUGGAGGUUCGAAUCCUCCCCCCGCUACCG